rnacentral:sRNA from 1 species
CUGUUCUAAUCUGUGUCGGAUUAAUAAAAUGAACAUGGGUAUCGAUUCCGCCAGCUGUCACAAUCAUUCCUUCACCAGCAAUGAUUUCUGUGCUGGCGCCAAUUACGAUAUCUACGUUAUCCAUAAUCAAUGGGUUACCAGCUUUUCCGAUGCCAGCAAUUUUUCCAUCACGAAUCCCGAUAUCUGCUUUGUAGAUACCAGUGUAGUCUAGAAUGACCGCAUUCGUAAUCACGACAUCUGCGAUCCCGUCUCCUCUCGUGACAAGAGGGUUUUGUCCCAUUCCGUCACGG